GACAGAGGCCUCGAGCGUUAGGCGGAAUCACUGGGCUUAAAGCGUGUGUAGGCGGAUCGUUAAGUGCCUUGUGAAAUCCCACGGCUUAACUGUGGAACGGCUGGGCAUACUGGCGGUCUUGAGCCAUCUAGGGGCGACUGGAACAAACGGUGGAGCGGUGAAAUGCGCAGAUAUCAGGAGGAACACCAAUGGCGAAGGCAGCUCGCUGGAACGGUACUGACGCUGAGGCGCGAAAGCGUGGGGAGCGAACAGG
rnacentral:rRNA from 1 species